rnacentral:rRNA from 1 species
GAUGAACGCUGGCGGCGUGCCUAAUACAUGCAAGUCGAGCGAACGGACGAGAAGCUUGCUUCUCUGAUGUUAGCGGCGGACGGGUGAGUAACACGUGGAUAACCUACCUAUAAGACUGGGAUAACUUCGGGAAACCGGAGCUAAUACCGGAUGAUAUUUUGAACCGCAUGGUUCAAAAGUGAAAGACGGUCUUGCUGUCACUUAUAGAUGGAUCCGCGCUGCAUUAGCUAGUUGGUAAGGUAACGGCUUACCAAGGCAACGAUGCAUAGCCGACCUGAGAGGGUGAUCGGCCACACUGGAACUGAGACACGGUCCAGACUCCUACGGGAGGCAGCAGUAGGGAAUCUUCCGCAAUGGGCGAAAGCCUGACGGAGCAACGCCGCGUGAGUGAUGAAGGUCUUCGGAUCGUAAAACUCUGUUAUUAGGGAAGAACAUAUGUGUAAGUAACUGUGCACAUCGUGACGGUACCUAAUCAGAAAGCCACGGCUAACUACG